rnacentral:rRNA from 1 species
CCUACGGGGGGCAGCAGUGGGGAAUAUUGGACAAUGGGGGGAACCCUGAUCCAGCCAUGCCGCGUGUGUGAAGAAGGCCUUUUGGUUGUAAAGCACUUUCAGCGGGGAGGAAGGCGGUGAGGUUAAUAACCUCAUCGAUUGACGUUACCCGCAGAAGAAGCACCGGCUAACUCCGUGCCAGCAGCCGCGGUAAUACGGAGGGUGCAAGCGUUAAUCGGAAUUACUGGGCGUAAAGCGCACGCAGGCGGUCUGUCAAGUCGGAUGUGAAAUCCCCGGGCUCAACCUGGGAACUGCAUUCGAAACUGGCAGGCUAGAGUCUUGUAGAGGGGGGUAGAAUUCCAGGUGUAGCGGUGAAAUGCGUAGAGAUCUGGAGGAAUACCGGUGGCGAAGGCGGCCCCCUGGACAAAGACUGACGCUCAGGUGCGAAAGCGUGGGGAGCAAACAGGAUUAGAUACCCGGGUAGUC